UAUAUUAUAUAUAUAUAUAUAUAUAUAUAAAGGAUGCCCUUUAGUGUUGCAAAACCUGAAAAAAAGGUCCCCAUAAUCCAUCAAAACCAGUACAAGUGUCAACGGACGUGGAUGUCCUCCAGUUUUUUUGUUUUUUUUUUUUUUUUUUUUUUUUGUAUUUUACAUAUAUUUGUAAAUUAUAUUUGUUUAUAUAUUUAUAUAUUGUAUAUUGCGUUGUAUUUUGAAAUGUGCCUAUAAAAGACAAUUAUUCACAUUGAUGAAGUGAAGUAUUUUCCAGGGAAUGAAAUCAGCGUCCCCGUGAUCCCGUCAGCCAAUCAGCAGGUCGCACCUGCAGCCACUCACUGCUCUUUAGCAGCAAUCAGGAGUCCUCUGCUCCACAGUACUCCAGCUCCCCGCUCUGCGUCACGCGCGUCUCCCUCUCCGGUCCAGGACGCACGCGGACUGUCCCGGAUCUGCGCAAAUGCAACUGAAGAACGGUCACGCGGCCGCCAUGGACAAGCGCGUGGACCUGGGCUCGCUCUUCUGCAUGAUCGGACGGCACGGCCCCGCCGUGGCUGUGGCCGUGAUCGCCGUGGUGUCCGUGCUGGCGGGGUUCAUCAUCUACCGGAACGUGAAGGGGAAGCGGAGGAAGGCCGCCGACGGGGACGCGCCGCCGCGACCAGAGCAGGAAUCGAACCCGCGAGAGUCACGCGACCGUGUCCGGUCAACAGAUGAAAGCGCAGAGGACCUGUCGAAAUAUAAGGAGGCCGAUUCGCCUCAAAGCAGCAUCCGGAAUCGCCGCGCUGUUAUUGAUGAGCUAGCCUCGUCUCACCGGCCUACUGAGAAAAUCUCUGGUCAUGCUCAGACGCCCACCUCCUCCCCGGUACAGGACUCUGAGAACCUGACAUGUUCAAAAGAUUUGGACAAGACUCUGGAAUAUGACGGGAUGAUGGCAGACACAGAAGUGGCAAGUUGUGUCCGUGCUUCCAAAAACCAUCUCAGCCAAUCAGAACCUGUGAUGGGAGAGCAUCACCAGGAUCAAAAUGGAGUGAGUGAAAUUUAUUUUCCACUUAUUUAUAAAUAUUACUGCUUUAAGAAAACAAUAGAACCAUAAGGUUUUAAAAAGGCAAUUUUUAAUCCAAAAUGUUAUACUGUUAAAGUUAC
rnacentral:lncRNA from 1 species